GAGUUUGAUCUUGGCUCAGAACGAACGCUGGCGGCAUGCCUAACACAUGCAAGUCGAACGAAGUCUUCGGACUUAGUGGCGCACGGGUGCGUAACGCGUGGGAAUCUGCCCUUGGGUACGGAAUAACUCAGAGAAGUUUGUGCUAAUACCGUAUAAUGUCUUCGGACCAAAGAUUUAUCGCCCAAGGAUGAGCCCGCGUAAGAUUAGCUAGUUGGUGAGGUAAGAGCUCACCAAGGCGACGAUCUUUAGCUGGUCUGAGAGGAUGAUCAGCCACACUGGGACUGAGACACGGCCCAGACUCCUACGGGAGGCAGCAGUGGGGAAUAUUGGACAAUGGGCGAAAGCCUGAUCCAGCAAUGCCGCGUGAGUGAUGAAGGCCUUAGGGUUGUAAAGCUCUUUUACCCGGGAUGAUAAUGACAGUACCGGGAGAAUAAGCUCCGGCUAACUCCGUGCCAGCUGCCGCCGU
rnacentral:rRNA from 1 species